GACGAACGCUGGCGGCGCGCCUAACACAUGCAAGUCGAACGAGCGAGCUUGCUUCGCGAGUGGCGAACGGGGUGAGUCAACGCGUGAGGAACCUUGCCUCAAAGGAGGGGGACAACAGUUGGAAACGACUUGCUAAUACCGCAUAAGCCCACGACCCGGCAUCGGGUAGAGGGAAAAGGAGCAAUCCGCUUUGAGAUGGCCUCGCGUCCGAUUAGCUAGUUGGUGAGGUAAUGGCCCACCAAGGCGACGAUCGGUAGCCGGACUGAGAGGUUGAACGGCCACAUUGGGACUGAGACACGGCCCAGACUCCUACGGGAGGCAGCAGUGGGGAAUAUUGCACAAUGGGGGAAACCCUGAUGCAGCGACGCCGCGUGGAGGAAGAAGGUCUUCGGAUUGUAAACUCCUGUUGUUGAGGAAGAUAAUGACGGUACUCAACAAGGAAGUGACGGCUAACUACGUGCCAGCAGCCGCGGUAAAACGUAGGUCACAAGCGUUGUCCGGAAUUACUGGGGUGUAAAGGGAGCGCAGGCGGGAAGACAAGUUGGAAGUGAAAUCCAUGGGCUCAACCCAUGAACUGGCUUUCAAAACUGUUUUUCUUGAGUAGUGCAGAGGUAGGCGGAAUUCCCCGGUGUAGCGGUGGAAUGCGUAGAUAUCGGGGAGGAACACCAGUGGCGAAGGCGGCCUACUGGGCACCAACUGACGCUGAGGCUCGAAAGUGUGGGUAGCAAACAGGAUUAGAUACCCUGGUAGUCCACACUGUAAACGAUGAUUACUAGGUGUUGGAGGAUUGACCCCUUCAGUGCCGCAGUUAACACAAUAAGUAAUCCACCUGGGGAGUACGACCGCAAGGUUGAAACUCAAAGGAAUUGACGGGGGCCCGCACAAGCAGUGGAGUAUGUGGUUUAAUUCGACGCAACGCGAAGAACCUUACCAAGUCUUGACAUCCUGCGACGCACAUAGAAAUAUGUGUUUCCUUCGGGACGCAGAGACAGGUGGUGCAUGGUUGUCGUCAGCUCGUGUCGUGAGAUGUUGGGUUAAAUCCCGCAACGAGCGCAACCCUUAUGGUCAGUUACUACGCAAGAGGACUCUGGCCAGACUGCCGUUGACAAAACGGAGGAAGGUGGGGAUGACGUCAAAUCAUCAUGCCCUUUAUGACUUGGGCUACACACGUACUACAAUGGCGUUAAACAAAGAGAAGCAAGACCGCGAGGUGGAGCAAAACUCAGAAACAACGUCCCAGUUCGGACUGCAGGCUGCAACUCGCCUGCACGAAGUCGGAAUUGCUAGUAAUCGCGGAUCAGCAUGCUGCGGUGAAUACGUUCCCGGGCCU
rnacentral:rRNA from 1 species